rnacentral:lncRNA from 1 species
CUCAUUAGUAAUCAUGUUAUUGCAAGUUUAUCUCUAGUCUAUGCCUUGAUAGAUUUUACCCCUGUUUUCACUUUAGCCAUUUUCUUAAGCAAAAUAUAAAUAACGAUACUCGAAAUACUUUUCCUGGUGAAAUGCUACAAUGAGGUAUUUUAUCUAUGCGCUUGCGGAUAGAAUAGAUUAUUUUCUAGAGAGCCUCCAUAUUCAUAAAUACCUUUGUACACUCUGGCACCAUGCUGGGGAUGACAACCUAGUAUCCAAGUGGUGUUAGUAAGUGUCAACAUUCACCAUCAUAUAUCUACUAACUAAUACACCAACUAGACUAAAGUAGGGGUAAAUAAUCGAUGAUAGGAAUUAUGCAUAUAUGACACACACCAGAGAAUUCUUAUGAUCAAAGAGUAGAUAGCUAAAGUGAGAGGACAACGAGAAAGUUUAAGGUUCCUAAAUAGUUCUCUGUUACUAGGGUUCUAUAAUAAAUAAUUUAUGGUAGGUAAAGCAAUCACACAAUAACACUUCGGGACAUCAAAGCACUUAGCCACA